AGAUCACACCACUGCACUCCAGCCUGGUGAGAGAGGGAGACUGCAUUCUCAAAAAAAAAAAAAAAAAAAAAAAAAAAAAAAAAAAAGAAUAUAUAUGAAUUCUUACUGAUAGUAUUAAAUGAUUAUCUCUUUACAUUCACAGUAAUGUCUUACAAUAACAGAAUGCAGGAGAGCACAUAUCAAUGAAGAAAAGACAAAAUGUACUUAUCCAUGAAGCUGAGGUUAAGAAACCAGUGUCUUCAAGAGCCAGGGACAGCACUGGGUCUGUGCAGAGUUGAGAGAUGGUGAUGACAUGUGGUUUCCAGCAUUCCUCACCCAGUCCAGGGACACUGUGGGUGUGCCCAGCUUAAGUCCAGUAACUGGAAAUACAAGCCCAAGUUCUGGAGAGUUUGAGCUGCAGAGAUAUAUAUGGGAACACUUUGAAUCUUGACUCAUUGGCCAUAACCAGCAGAGUGGAAAAUACAAGAAGAGAAAAAAACAUUGAACUGCGAUUUUAUAACAUCCUUUACUAGGCAGAGAGAAGAGGAAACACCAGGAAAGAAAACUGUAUUACGAUGUGAAAACUUAAUGUUGAGAAAUUCAGGCAUCUUGGGGUUAGUGAGGAGAAGUUUUAGGGGCUUAGAUUCUUCUAAACACAUGUACAGAAAUGCAUAUUUCAUCUGAUAUCAAAUGGCAUUUAUAGUGCUAAUCUUUACCUCAAGACUUCACAUCUUUUGGUGAUUGCAUCUUUUAGGUUUAUAGCAGCUAAGUUUGCAUGAAAACACCAGGGCUGUUUCAUUUCAGUCAAGAAUUAAUGUUCAUUGAUUGUGCUUCUGCAUUUCAUGUAACUAUUGUAGAAUUUGUUUUAGUUUUAUGAGGGAAUAAUUGUUCCAACUUCUAUAUAACUCAGGAAUUUACUCUCAAACAACACUGUCAAUUAGUUACUUAUCUCUCUGGAAAUGAUCUGGGAACAUGGAGAGGAAAGGGAGGAAGGGGCAAAAUCUGACCACUUAAAUCUAAGCAUAUUAGAUCAUUUUAUGCUAGAAAGUCCUGAAUGAUGUGACUUUCGUUCUUGUAAAACACCUCUUUCCAUAGAUUCAUGGCCCAAACAGUAUAUAAAGAGUGGGGAAGGAACUGCAUUUGCAAAUAGUUCAAAUCAUUGCUCCAUCUUAACUACGCAGUUCACAAAGUGUGAAGAAAUGUGAUCAUCUCAAAAAAGAUAAUGGGGAAAAAAUAUGUUUUGUUCUGUGACUUUAAAGUCUUGCAAUAUUUUACAUAAAUGAUAAUGGGUGCUUUAAUAAGAACUCUUGAUACUUUUGUUAUUGUAUUCAAUAUAUGCAUAUAAUACAACAGGAUGAUAUUGUUUUGGAUUUGGAAAUGUAUUCUUUCUUAUGCAAUCUUAUGCAGUCAUACUGCUUGAAUAUCAUUACCUGAAUUUAUCUUUCUUUUUUUUGUUGUUGUUUUACACUCUACUUAUUUGGUGCCUGUCAGUCUUUUGUCGUCAGUUUAUAUUCUACUAAACUCAAAAAGACAAUCUCAUACCUUUUGUAAUUGUAGGCAUUCUUUACUAGAUUUUUAAAUACACUUCAAAAAUUCAAGUACUUUGAUUUCAUGCCAUCAAGUAGCUGAAUCUAUCCCCCCGUCUCUUUUUAAAUUUAAGUGAGUAGUUCAAUUUCUGUCACUUUCUACUUUGUGAAUUCUAAAUCUUUUAAAACCAUCUUGCCAUUUUUCGUGCACUUACCCUUACAGAAAACUCUGUGAAACACUACUUAUCUCUACUUUUAUGUUUUUAACUCCUUUUUUAUAUUACUAUUCCCUCUGCUUUCUAAAUGCACAUAUUAAUUUGUUCUUUUUAUUCUCUGUAGCUCUUCUCAGUGUAUGAAUUCAGUUUCCCAUCAGUCUCCAUACAAUUAAAAAAAAGUUGAGUAUUCUGUUAUUUUAAUAAGAUAUCUAGUGCCCAUAUUCUAAUUCUGCCCCUUAUUUUUAAUAUAAUUUUAUUGUUGAUUUAAAAUGACAACAGUUUCAAUUCCCAGAAAGUGAAAGGAAACAAAGGAAUAAUAUUAUAGGCUUAAUUUUUAUCAGUGAACUUGUAGGUGAAGAAAAGAUUUGGGGAAGGAAAUGAACAUAUUAUAUUGCAAAAUAGUAAGGAACAAUCAGAUGUGUUUUCUAGUCUCUGGAAAAGCAUGUUUCAAGAAAUUCAAUGAAAAGUUCAUCAUGCUUGCUUAGAUUGUUGAGAAGCAAAAACACUGAUGAACAUUUGGAAGCAAUGAGAAUGUAAUUCUAAUCAUACUCUUUUAAUAAUGUUGCAAAACUCUCCAAACACUACUCUGUGUGGAUGUCUUUCAGAAUAUGAUGAAUACUAGUAGUCUUAUUCUGCCCUUUUCUCUCUAUCACAAUAUAUACAUUCUAUAUUGCAUACACAUAUUUUCCAAAUAUUACAUAUAAUUUCAUGUAAUUUAUAGACCUAUUAAGGCCCAACCAUUUUCUUGGAUAGGGGAUUCUUUAGAAGUCCAGCUUAAAUAAAGCCCGUAUAGAAAGUUUUUUUAAAAUUUAUACAUAAUCACCUAAAGUAACCUUAUCUACUGAACUCUUAGUACAUGCUACUGGAACCUUUUAUCAUGUUUCUUCCUGGCUUGCAUUACAACACUGUUGACAUAUCUCAGCCUUACUUCUAGGCUUCUUUGAGAGCAUGACUCAUGUUUGUAUUCCUCACUGAGGUUGAAUGAAUAAGAGAAACUACAGUAGUAGGAAAAAACAGUACAUGUACAUAUCAAUGAAUAUGAAAGGGUCAAAUGGAUCUAUUAUAGUAAGCACAAAAUCAACUGACACCAGCAAAGUAAACCCAAAAUUUUUAAUGGUAUUUUAAUAGAUCAAGAGGAGCAAGCAGAUUUUUGAGACAGUUGUCUCCUACUUUCUCUAUCACAGGGAGUAAUUUUAAAAGAAAAAUGGAGGGUAAGUUUCUUUAAGAGAAAAUUGUAGUUUAAAACAGGUCAUGGGAUAAUUAGAAAUAAUUUAAUUUCUUUAGAGGAUUUUAAUCUUUCAACUGCUUGCAAUUAGAUCCUAAGGCAAUAAAAGAAUAAGGAGAUUUGGAAAACCAUUGUCUGUAAUCUCUGAAGAAAAGUGGACAUUAGGGGAGUCAGUUGAAAAGCAAAGCUAUCACCAUUUUCUAAAGAGGAAAAAGGUGAACCUCACAAACUAUAGACCAAAAAAAUAGGACAUCGAGAGAAAGAAUAUGAAGCUAGCAUAGGUUCACAAAGAAUGAGUCAAAUCAAACAACAUGCAUUUUUUAUUUAUAAAGCAUGACUUGUUCAUUGUCAAUUCAUGUUAGCUUAAUCAUUAGGCAUUAAUGCCAUCACUGCAAUGCAUAUGUCAGCAAUAAAUAAUCAAAGACCAGGCUUCCAUCAUUCUGUUUAAUAUCUUCAAGUAAUGCUUAAGUUUGCAAAUGCUCUUUUAACACAUUCUCCAUAUGCAGCCUGCCCAGCACUGCACACAAUAGACCUGUUACUUCCCCCUCACGAGCACUCCUAAUAUUUCAUGUGCUCAUCCAAUUGACUUCUCCCACUGGUGCCUCAUAUUGAAUUUGUAGAAUCACACCUGCUCCUUUUUCAAAACUCUUCUGAGUUUUUUCUUAAAUAAUUCACUGACCCCAAAGUUGUCAGAUAUUUGAAGACUACUCGCACAAUUUUAAUAUUAUAAAUGUAUAAUGUAAAUGUAAUUAAGAUUUGUAUAAUGUACGAUGUACUUUGGUAAAUAAAAGUAUGCUGUGAAUAAAUACGUAUGAUACAAUUCAAAAUUUUACAUAAAUAUGUGAUAAAAUUUAGCUCAUAUUCUUUUUUUUUUUCUUUGAGACGGAGUCUCACUCUGUUGCACCCAGGCUAGAGUGCAGCAGCAUGAUCUCAGCUCACUGCAACCUCUACCUCCUGGGUUCAAACAAUUCUCCUGCCUCAGCCUCCUGAGUAGCUGGGAUUACAGGUGCCCGCCACCAUGCCCAGCUAAUUUUUUUCUAUUUUUGUUGUUGUUGUUGUUUUUAGUAGAGACGGGGUUUCACCAUGUUGGUCAGGCUGGUCUUGAACUCCUGACCUCAGAUAAUCCACCUGCCUCGGCCUCCCAAAGUUCUGGGAUUACAGACGUGAACCACGGUGCCCGGCCUAGUUCAUGUUCUUUAAGGACAAUUAUGAAUAUUUUUAUGCACUGUUAAUUUUCAUUAAGAUAUUGAUCAAUUAAUAGCUAUAUAUGUUCUAUAAAUUAAUCCUAUCUAGUUUCAAUCUUAAAUUGUUUGCAUAUACCAAUCUAGUUUAUUGUUUGCAUAUAUUUUAUAGUGUAGAGAUUAGGCAUUUUAAUAAAAUUUUAAAAUUUCCAGGACAUACUGUUAAUGACUAUGCUUCCUACUAUAGGCCAUAAUUAAUUUUUUUCUAUUGUCAACAAUAUUUUGGUAGGGAUGAUCAGGAAAUAAGGAAAUGUUUCCUUCAUUUGUUAACAAUAGGUGUUUGGGGAUUUUAAAAUGAAAAUUGAAGAAGUAAAAGACACCAUAUAUUUAGUUUGUUUGAUUUCGUGGCUUCAAGAGUUCAAUAAUUUAUUGAAAUAUUUUACAGACCAAAGAACAACAGAUAUAUUACGUUUAUAAGCCCCCACAUAUUUUAAAGGAUAAUGGUUUAUAUAUGAAAAUUCCCUGAACCUACACUUCAUCAGGAAAAGCUAAAUAAAAGAAGUUUACAUUUCCUAGGACUAAUGGAGAUUUAUUUCCCAGUCCUCUUCUCUGGAGACAAAUGUAGGUCUCUCUUGAAAAGCAGAAAGUUUUGCAUAUGAGGUAUGAUUUAGUGGGCUAGAAACAUCUUUUCCACCCUCCCCAAAAUGUUUCACUAUGUUUUAUCAUACUAUCUGAUAAUUUUGCACUAAAGUUUUCUUUCUGUGUUAAGAAAAUGCAAAUAUCUCUGAAUGGGUCUCUUUGCUUUAGUCAUACUCAUAUGGCUACUACUGAACAAAAUAUGUUCAUUACAGGAUGAAGGGAAUGUUGCCAGCCAGCAAAUCCCUAGAGUUUGCACUACACCAAACGUUGCUUAGCAAUUUCCACGAUUUUCUCAGUCUAAUUUGCAAGAAUCAAGGAGAUGUUUGUGUAUGCUACAUGAAGUUGUAAAAUUGGUAUUUAUUGUAUGUUUCUAUAUCGAAAGCUUUACAAACAAAGGAAAUGGAAAGUUAACAGGUGGAUAUGAUAGUGUGGCACUACUUUAGCUGGAUGGUAAGGGAGAGCUUCUCUUAGGAAGUGUUUUAGGCCAGGACUUGAAUAAUGAACAGUAUCUAGUUGUACAAAAAUCUGGAGGAAAGACUUUUCAGGCCCAGGAGAAAUGAAAAUUCUUUUCAUGCAUACAAGAAUGAAAGUGAAAAUUACCUACUCUAUGUCCUGAAGUGGGAAGUUGGCUUGCCAGAGAGUAGGUAAUUUUCACUUUGAUUCUUUCAUGCCUUCAGUUAUACUACUUCUUAGGUUAGUUCAUAAGGGUUUCCACAAUUUGGUUCCCACUUAAAAUUUAAAACUUCCCUAACCCAUUCCCACCAUAUAUUGUGCUAAUCCAUGCAUAUGUGACUUUGCGUAUGCUGUUUUCAUUGUUUAAUAUUCUUCUCAUGCAUUCGUUCUUUCCUGAUAACGAACUCAUCUUUGAAACUCCCCUUCAAGCAUCCUCUACUUUAGGAGGCCGCUUCUCACUGUCUCCUGCCUACCACCCAUUGAAUUGUUCAAUUUUUAAGCUGCCAUUGUCUUGUGCAGUUGACACAUUUCUUUGCAAUUACUGAUUUACAUGUCUGCUUUUAUCACUGGUGAGGUUCUUUAGGACAGAGACAUUAUUAAUUCAUCUCUGGGCACAUAUGUUCCAACAUAUUAGAAGUACUACAGAGUGCUAUUACUAUGUAGUAUGUAGUAUUAGUAGUAGUUACUCACAAAUCAUUUUUAAAUAAGUGAUUAUAAUAUCUUUUUGUUAUUAUGAUUUAACACAAGAUGGAAUUUAUUUUCAGAAGUUUCCAUGAUAUAUUUGUUCUAUUUAAAAUCCAAUAGCCAUUAGAAUAUUACCAUUAUUUAAUGUAAAACAAUAAAAUAUUAAAUAUGAUCGUUCAUAUUUAAUGCAAACCGAACUCAUGGAAAUAUUGUGUAAAGAUCAAGUAAUUUUUGACAUACAAUUUUAAACUCAACUUUUCAUAUAGCAUACCUUAUGAUAUAUUUUCAGCCUACUUUUAAAUAUGUUGGCAUUGAAAGCCAGUUACUAAUUCGCUGAAUUCAUGAUUUCUUUUUAAGUUAUAGAAGUGGAAUUAUGUUUGAGAUAUUCAUUGCAUUACAUUUACCAGAACUUGAGUUCUUAACAUGGAACCUGAGAGUUUCUCCAAUUCUUAAGUCCCUGGGAGAAAUAGAUUAGCUGGAUGAGGAACUGAGAGGAAAAAUGGUCAGAGAUGUAGCAAGAGUUGGGAAGAAGGAACAAUGAUUUGCUUUCAAGGAGAUUUUUUCAUUGGUCUGUUUUCAGUGACAAACCCACUGCGAUAAUACAUGUAAAGUGAAAACAUUCAGGAAGUUCCCUUAGAAACCUCUUUUCUGGCAGUUCCUAAUUCUACAACAUUGUAUAAGUGAAAUACCAUAGUUACUGUCAUAGUAAAUUGAGCCAAGAGAAACAAGGGAGCAGGAGAAGAAAAGAAUUAAAGAGAGUUUUGUCUUUCAGUCUUCACUCUGUUUCUUCUUGCUUUUACCAGUCAUUCAGGUUUAUAUAAUUUCUUUAGAGAGGCUUCUACUAUGCAGGUCUUCCUUAAAGUCAUUGGUAUUACCUGGCAUGAUAUGUGAGCCUUUAAUAUCAGUCCCUUUAUCUCUUUAUUUUUAAAGUUUAUAUCAGUACAGAGUCCUGGAUUCUUAAUUAAUUUAAUAGGUUAGACUUUAUGCUAAUAUUCUUCAUUUUGAUGCUCAAAUUUUCCAAAAUUUGGCCAGCAGGGUUCCUUAAAGCUGGGUACCUUGCCCUUUCAACAUGUCCCUCUGAUUCUUUAUUUUUAUUUACUUAUUUAUUUAUUUAUUUAUUUAUUUAUUUAUUUAUUUAUUUAGAGACUGAGUCUUGCUCUGUCUCCCAGCCUGGAGUGCAAUGGCACAAUCUUGGCUCACUGCAACCUCUAUCUCCCAGGUUCAAGCAAUUCUCCUCCCUCAGCCUCCCGAGCAACUGGGACUACAGGCAUGUGCAACCAUGCCUGGCUAAUUUUUUUUGUAUUUUUAGUAGAGACAGGCUUUCACCAUGUUGGUCAGGCUGGCCUCGAUCUCCUGACCUCAAAUGAUCCAUCGCCUCGGCCUCCCAAAGUGCUGGGAUUACAGGCGUGAGCUGCCACACCCAGCCGUCCCUCUCAUUCUUUAAGUACUUCCAUGUUUUCUAAGGUACAAGAUGUUCCAUAUUAUUUUGUUAUUUGUCUUCCCCAGCUCUGAAAUCUGCCUUUCCUUCAAGGAGCCUUGGUUCUUUCUAGUGACAAAUUAUAUUUAGAAAGAAGAUCUGGGUAUUUGACUUGUAUAUUGCUAUUAAUUGGCCAUUGUUUCUAGUCUCUUUCAGUAGACAGAGCUAAGAAAUGUAAAAGGAAAUAUUUGAAUGUAUGUAUAUGUGAUAUAUUAAGUACAUUUAAACAUAUUAAAUUCAUGAGUUCAUACUAAUACUUUCAAUAAGCCACAAUUCCCUUUUCAUGUUUUCGAAGGAAAAAUAUCCAUUGUCUAUAUACAGUGGACAUAGAUAGUAAUAAUACUGAUCUUGAAAAGAGCAGUCUUAAAUAGAUCCCAUUAAUAGUUAAAGAUAACAUAUCUUAGAAUUCUAGAUAUUAGAGAGAUUAUCUAGAGCUGUAAUCUAGAUAUUUUAUAGAUCUUUGCUGUGCUGUUUUGAAUUUGUGUUGGAGUAGAACAAUCAGAUGACAAAAGCUCAUCCCACAUGGAAAAAUCAAAGCAUUCAUUACAGAGAGAAUUUUGAAAUAAAUGCAUAUAUAAAAAAUAUAUAUGCAUAUAUAAUGCAUAUGUAUAUGCAUAUAAAAUAUAUAUAUAUAAAAUGAGGGUUAUAAACAAUGAAGGAAAUAGUGAUACUAUCUAUGUGGGAACAAUACUAGUAUCCUCCCUUUGGAUGAAUACAGUAGCUACAGAUGCAAUUCUGGGGACUCUGUUUAGCAAUAGCUUAACUAUUGCUUGGCUACAAGCAUGGAUAACUUGUUCAAAGAUAAUGAGGAGUUGUAAAUAUUUAAAUAAACAGGAUUUGCAACAUAAAAA
rnacentral:lncRNA from 1 species